rnacentral:rRNA from 1 species
CCUACGGGUGGCAGCAGUGAGGAAUAUUGGUCAAUGGGCGCGAGCCUGAACCAGCCAAGUCGCGUGCAGGAUGACUGCCCUACGGGUUGUAAACUUCUUUUAUACAGGAAUAAAGUGAGGCACGUGUGCCUUUUUGUAUGUACUUUAUGAAUAAGGAUCGGCUAACUCCGUGCCAGCAGCCGCGGUAAUACGGAGGAUCCGAGCGUUAUCCGGAUUUAUUGGGUUUAAAGGGUGCGUAGGUGGGGUGUUAAGUUAGUUGUGAAAUUUUGCGGCUCAACCUUAAAAUUGCAAUUGAUACUGGUAGUCUUGAGUGCAGUUGAGGUAGGCGGAAUUCGUGGUGUAGCGGUGAAAUGCUUAGAGAUCACGAAGAACUCCGAUUGCGAAGGCAGCUUACUAAACUGCCACUGACAUUGAUGCACGAAAGUGUGGGUAUCAAACAGGAUUAGAUACCCGAGUAGUC